GUUGAUUUCAGCAAUGGAUUGACAUGGACACCCUGCGCAGCUUCCAACAAAAUUUAUUGCAAAACAAUCAGUGACGAUGGAUUGAAGCUCCUCCAGCCGCACAUGAAGACAUUAGCAGGGAAAAUGAUCAUCAUGUUUUCUUUUAGACACUAGCAACUCCAGCUGCGUAUGAAGAAAAGGUUAUCAGAUAUGUUCAAUCAAGCAGCCAACUCUUGCUACCUGACUGGAAAUUUUGGCCUUUAUGAUGUUUUCUCCCUUGAGAAAAGAUGCCGUGACAUGAUCAGAUUUUGUAAUAUGAAAGAGGAAAAAGCAGACUAUAAAAGACCAUCAAAAAUAAUAAACAGGGAUUUGAAUGUUCCUAA